rnacentral:rRNA from 1 species
UAGUCCACGCUGUAAACGAUGUAUGCUAGUUGUCAGGCCCUUGGGUUUGGUGACGGAGGGAAACUAUUAAGCAUACCGCCUGGGGAGUACGGUCGCAAGACUAAAACUCAAAGGAAUUGACGGGGACCCGCACAAGCGGUGGAGCAUGUGGUUUAAUUCGAUGCAACGCGAAGAACCUUACCUGCCCUUGACAUACUCGGAACUUUCCAGAGAUGGAUUGGUGCCUUCGGGAACCGAGAUACAGGUGCUGCAUGGCUGUCGUCAGCUCGUGUCGUGAGAUGUUGGGUUAAGUCCCGCAACGAGCGCAACCCUUGUCCUUAGUUGCCAUCAGGUAAUGCUGGGAACUCUAAGGAGACCGCCGGUGACAAACCGGGAGGAAGGUGGGGACGACGUCAAGUCAUCAUGGCCCUUAUGGGGCAGGGGCUACACACGUGCUACAAUGGGCGAGUACAGAGGGGUUGCUAACC